AUCUUCAGGGCGGGGUGCAAUUCCCCACCGGCAGUAUAGUCUGCGAGCGGCGUUGUCCGCAUGAUUCGGUGCAAUUCCGAAACCGACGGUAUAGUCCGGAUGAAAGAAGAU
rnacentral:ncRNA from 1 species